UUUCAAAGCCGCGGAAUUUGUGGCUAUCAACGAUACAACACGUAUAAUGAUUUGGCUUGGCCUCGGUAUGCAAAUGUUAGUUUAAAACUUAAAUAUAAUUAAAAAAGUACGGACGCAUCAGGAUCGUACAGAGUGAUAGUGCCAAGUUUUUUGACAAAGAAGAUUAAAUCUCAAAUCUUAA